rnacentral:misc_RNA from 1 species
AGGCGGCAUAUAGUGUGAACUACGGUGAUAUUUGCGGCGGAGUGUUGUUACAUAAGAAAUGGGUUCUGACUGCUGCGCAUUGUGGAAUAGAUAGCACCUAUAUUCGAAUCGGAACUCAACAUCGUCUCAGGGGUCUGAAAAUCGGAAUAAAGGAUCAUAUCAUACACCCUUUGUAUCAAAAAGAACAUUCUUUUGAUUAUGAUGUUAUGUUACUGGAAUUAUUUAAGUAUUUAAGAUUUGGAGAAACGGUGAAUAAUAUUGCUAUCAGUAGCGGAGAAUAUGAAGAAGAUAUCACUAUCGCUGGUUGGGGAUAUGCUGUGGAGAAGGGUGACUAUCAAGAUAUCUUGCAAGAGGUAAAAG